rnacentral:rRNA from 1 species
UACGAAGGGUGCAAGCGUUACUCGGAAUUACUGGGCGUAAAGCGCGCGUAGGCGGCUUUGCAAGUCGGGCGUGAAAUCCCCAGGCUUAACCUGGGAACUGCAUUCGAGACUGCAUUGCUAGAGUAUGGGAGAGGGAAGUGGAAUUUCCGGUGUAGCGGUGAAAUGCGUAGAUAUCGGAAGGAACAUCAGUGGCGAAAGCGACUUCCUGGACCAAUACUGACGCUCAUGUGCGAAAGCGUGGGGAGCAAACAGG